CAGCCGCCGCGGUAAUACCAGCUCUNNAAGUGGUGCGGAUACUUAUUGGGCCUAAAGCAUUAGUAGCNGGGCUAGACAAGUCUCUCGUUAAAUCCAGCGUUUCAAUCGUUGGGCUGCGAGAGAUACUUUUUAGCUAGGGGACGGGAGCGGUCGACGGUAUUUCCGGGGUAGGGGUGAAAUCCUAUAAUCCCGGGAGGACCACCAGUGGCGAAGGCUGUUGACUAGAACGUGCCCGACGGUGAGGGAUGAAAGCUGGGGGAGCGAACCGGAUUAGAUACCCGGGUAGUCCCAGCUGUAAACAAUGCAGGCUAGGUGUUAGAGCGGCUACGUGCCGCCCUAGUGCCGCAGGGAAGCCGUUAAGCCUGCCGCCUGGGGAGUACGGCCGCAAGGCUGAAACUUAAAGGAAUUGGCGGGGGAGCACCACAAGGGGUGAAGCUUGCGGUUUAAUUGGAGUCAACGCCGGAAAUCUCACCGGGAGCGACAGUAGGAUGAAUGCCAGAUUAAAGGUCUUGCUAGACAAGCUGAGAGGAGGUGCAUGGCCGUCGCCAGUUCGUGCCGUGAGGUGUCCUGUUAAGUCAGGCAACGAUCGAGACCCGUAUCCCCUGUUGCUAUCAACCUUGGGUUGAGCACACUGGGGAAACCGCCGCCGAAAAGGCGGAGGAAGGAGCGGGCCACGGCAGGUCAGUAUGCCCCGAAUCUCCCGGGCUACACGCGAGCUGCAAUGGCAGGUACAAUGGGUUCCGACCCCGAAAGGGGAAGGUAAUCUCGAAAACCUGUCGUAGUUGGGAUCGAGGGUUGAAACUCACCCUCGUGAACAUGGAAUCCCUAGUAAUCGCGUGUCACUAUCGCGCGGUGAAUACGUCCCUGCCCCUUGCACAC
rnacentral:rRNA from 1 species